rnacentral:tRNA from 1 species
CUCUGUGUGGUGCAGAUGGUUAGCACACUUGAUUGCUGACCAAAAGGUUGGAGGUUCGAUUCCACUCAGAGG